rnacentral:tRNA from 1 species
GCCGUAGUAGUAUAAUUUAUUAUACUGGUCUUGUAAGCCAGAGAUUGCCCCGCACUACAGCU